UUUUUUUUUUAGGAUCUUGGUAUGCAAUGGUUAUCUUUGCAAUGUUCACACUUGAUUUGUCCUUUUCAGAUGGGAUGGGUAACUGUGAUUAUGGAUUUUUUGAUGCCAUUGUAUAGAUGUUGAAUUUGUAAACAAGAAAGAUGGCGACUAGAUCAUCUGGUGUAUCUCUAUAAUACGUUAUAUAGAUGUUGAAUUUGUAAACAAGAAAGAUGGCGACUAGAUCAUCUGGAAAAUACUGUAAAAAAUUAUUUAUCUGUAGAACAAAUUGGCUGCUGAUAGGACCAUCAAGUAUCAGUUAAACUCAAACAGAAGAGUUUCCCGGUUUCUGAUUAGGUGGAAAAUAUACUUCGCACCAAUGUUAUGAUACCAUGACGAGUAAUUUGAUAACAACAUAGAAAGGUAGUGACGUUUACGUUGGUGUAUCUGUAUUAAAAAGACAGUUAAAUUGCAUUCGGCAAGUUAUAUAUUGUUGAGUUUCAUAAAAAUCUUAAAAUAUCUGUAUAGAUCUGACUGGUAUGUUGUUUGACAUUCUUAUAUGUCAUAUAUAUAUAAUAAUAAUAAUGGUAUAGGUUGGAAGUUAUGUAUGACAAAAUGGAAAGUUGAAUGUUCUUGUAGAUCCUCAGGUGGACAUUGAAAAAAAAAGAAACUGCCUAAGUUAUGGAUUUGAUGGAAAGGCGAUGAUAUAUAUAUAUAUAUAUAUAAUCAAUUACAGACAUUGUAUUCAAAUAUUACAUCCUUAUCUUUGUGUUAUUCACAUUUAGUUUGCCCUUUCACUCUGAAAGGUAACUGUGUCCGGAUCAUUGACUUUUUGAAGCCAUUAGAUUGAUAAUUAAGCGUGACAAGAUGAAAAGGUGACGGUUGUGGUAGAUCCUUUGGUAUAUCUGUAUUAAUAAAAAAGAUAAAAUUACUUACAGACAUUGUAUUCAAAUAUUACAUCCUUAUCUUUGUGUUAUUCACAUUUAUUUUGCCCUUUUCCUCUAACAGGUAACUGUGUCAGGAUCAUUGACUUUUUGAAGCCAUUAGAUUGAUAAUUAAGCGUGACAAGAUGAAAAGGUGACGGUUGUGGUAGAUCCUUUGGUAUAUCUGUAUGAAUAAAAAAGAUAAAAUUAAUUACAGACAUUGCAUUCAAAUAUUACAUCCUUAUCUUUGUGUUAUUCACAUUUAGUUUGCCCUUUUCCUCUAACAGGUAACUGUGUCAGGAUCAUUGACUUUUUGAAGCCAUUAGAUUGAUAAUUAAGCGUGACAAGAUGGAAAAGGUGACGGUUGUGGUAGAUCCUUUGGUAUAUCUGUAUGAAUAAAAAAGAUAAAAUUAAUUACGUACAUUGUAUUCAAAUAUUACAUCCUUAUCUUUGUGUUAUUCACAUUUAGUUUGCCCUUUUCCUCUAACAGGUAACUGUGUCAGGAUCAUUGACUUUUUGAAGCCAUUAGAUUGAUAAUUAAGCGUGACAAGAUGGAAAAGGUGACGGUUGUGGUAGAUCCUUUGGUAUAUCUGUAUGAAUAAAAAAGAUAAAAUUAAUUACAUACAUUGUAUUCAAAUAUUACAUCCUUAUCUUUGUGUUAUUCACAUUUAUUUUGCCCUUUUCCUCUAACAGGUAACUGUGUCAGGAUCAUUGACUUUUUGAAGCCAUUAGAUUGAUAAUUAAGCGUGACAAGAUGGAAAAGGUGACGGUUGUGGUAGAUCCUUUGGUAUAUCUGUAUGAAUAAAAAAGAUAAAAUUAAUUACAGACAUUGCAUUCAAAUAUUACAUCCUUAUCUUUGUGUUAUUCACAUUUAGUUUGCCCUUUUCCUCUAACAGGUAACUGUGUCAGGAUCAUUGACUUUUUGAAGCCAUUAGAUUGAUAAUUAAGCGUGACAAGAUGGAAAAGGUGACGGUUGUGGUAGAUCCUUUGGUAUAUCUGUAUGAAUAAAAAGAUAAAAUUAAUUACGUACAUUGUAUUCAAAUAUUACAUCCUUAUCUUUGUGUUAUUCACAUUUAUUUUGCCCUUUUCCUCUAACAGGUAACUGUGUCAGGAUCAUUGACUUUUUGAAGCCAUUAGAUUGAUAAUUAAGCGUGACAAGAUGGAAAAGGUGACGGCUGUGGUAGAUCCUUUGGUAUAUCUGUAUGAAUAAAAAAGAUAAAAUUAAUUACAGACAUUGCAUUCAAAUAUUACAUCCUUAUCUUUGUGUUAUUCACAUUUAUUUUGCCCUUUUCCUCUAACAGGUAACUGUGUCCGGAUAUUGACUUUUUGAAGCCAUUAGAUUGAUAAUUAAGCGUGACAAGAUGAAAAGGUGACGGCUGUGGUAGAUCCUUUGGUAUAUCUGUAUGAAUAAAAAAGAUAAAAUUAAUUACAGACAUUGUAUUCAAAUAUUACAUCCUUAUCUUUGUGUUAUUCACAUUUAGUUUGCCCUUUUCCUCUUACAGAUAACUGUGUCCGGAUCAUGGACUUUUUUGAAGCCAUGGUAUAGAUAUUAGAAUGGUAGUUCUGUGCGGUGAGAUAAAGAUAUUGUGGGAAAGCUAUAGAUAUCCUCAUGUAUAUCUCUAUCAAAAAUGACAAAGUUAAUAAAUUAUGUUAGGUUAAUCAUUUGAUGAUAUGAAUCCUUAAAAUCUCAAAAUAUAUGUAUAGAACAUAUAUGGGAACCCAAGUUUCUGAUUGAGAUCAAAAAAACAUUCAACUUAAAACUCAUCCAGAUUUCUUUUUCCUUUUUUCAAGUUUCCUUUGUUGUAUUUGAUAGUUGUGCUGAUAGAAAAGUUGGUGAUUUAAUGUGACAAGAUGAAAAGGUGGUGGUUCCGGUGGAUCCUCUGGUGUAUCUGUAUAAAAAAAAAGAGAUAAAAUUAAUAACAGACAUUGUAUUCAAAUAUGACAUCGUUAUCUUUGUGUUAUUCACAUUUAGUUUGCCCUUUCAUUCUGAUUGGUAACUGUGCACGAAUUAUUGACUUUUUUGAAGCCAUGGUAUAGAUAUUUAAGAAUGGUAGUUCUGUGUGAAGAGAUAAAGACAUUGUGUGGAACCUAUAGAUCCUCAGGUGUAUCUCUAUAAAAAUGACAAGUUAAUGAAUUAUAUUAGGUAAGUCAUUUGAUUAUAAAAAUCUUCAAAAUCUCAGAAUAUAUUUAUAGAACAUAUCGGCACCCCAGUUUCUGAUUGAGAUAAAAAAAGAAAGAAAAAAAAAAAAUCAACUUAAUCCUUAAUUUAUCAUAUAAAUUUUGUGCAAGUUAAGAAAAAAAACUUAUCCAGAUUUCUUUUUCCUUCUUUCAAGUUUUCUUCGUUGUAUUUGAUAGUUGUGCUGAUAGAAAAGUUGGUGAUUUAAUUUGACAAGAUGAAAAGGUGGUGGUUCUGGUGUAUCUGUAUAAAAAAAAAAAAAUUAAAUUAAUUACAGACAUUGCAUUCAAAUAUUACAUCCUUAUCUUUGUGUUAUUCACAUUUAGUUUGCCCUUUUCCUCUGACAGGUAACUGUGCAUGAAUUAUUGACUUUUUUGAAGCCAUGGUAUAGAUAUUUAAGAAUGGUAGUUCUGUGUGAAGAGAUAAAGACAUUGUGUGGAACCUAUGGAUCCUCAGGUGUAUCUCUAUAAAAAUGACAAGUUAAUGAAUUAUAUUAGGUAAGUCAUUUGAUUAUAAAAAUCUUCAAAAUCUCAGAAUAUAUUUAUAAAACAUAUCGGCACCCCAGUUUCUGAUUGAGAGCAAAAAAAAAAAAAAAAAAAUUCAACUUAAUCCUGAUUGUUUUAUUUUAUAAUCGUACUGAUAGAAAAGUUAAUCGUACUUAUAGAAAAGUUGGUGAUUUAAUGUGACAAGAUGAAAAGGUGGUGGUUCUGGUGUAUCUGUAUAAAAAAAAAGAAGAUAAAAUUAAUUACAGACAUUGCAUUCAAAUAUUACAUCCUUAUCUUUGUGUUAUUCACAUUUAGGUUGGUCUUUCACUCUGAUUGGUAACUGUGUCCGGAUCAUUGACUUUUUUGAAGCCAUGGUAUAGAUAUUUGAUUGGUAGUUCUGUGUGAAGAGAUAAAGACAUUGUGUGGAACCUAUAGAUCCUCAGGUGUAUCUCUAUAAAAAUGACAAGUUAAUGAAUUAUAUUAGGUAAGUCAUGAUUAUAAAAAUCCUCAAAUCUCAGAAUAUAUUUAUAGAACAUAUCGGCACCCCAGUUUCUGAUUGAGAUAAAAAAAAAAAUUGACUUAAUCCUUAAUUUAUCAUAUUAGUUUUGUGCAAGUUUAGAAAGAAAAACUUUGUUCCAGAUUUCUUUUUCCUUCUUUCAAGUUGUGCUGAUAGAAAAGUUGGUGAUUUAAUGUGACUAGAUGAAAAGGUGGUGGUUCUGGUGUAUCUGUAUAAAAAAAAAGAAGAUAAAAUUAAUUAUAGACAUUGCAUUCAAAUAUUACAUCGUUAUCUUUGUGUUAUUCACAUUUAGGUUGGCCUUUCACUCUGAUUGGUAACUGUGCACGAAUUAUUGACUUUUUUGAAGCCAUGGUAUAGAUAUUUAAGAAUGGUAGUUCUGUGUGAAGAGAUAAAGACAUUGUGUGGAACCUAUAGAUCCUCGGGUGUAUCUCUAUAAAAAAAAUGACAAAGUUAAUAAAUUGUUUUGGGUACGACAUUUGAUGAUAAGACUCCUUAAAAUCUCAAAAAUAUUUUGUAUAUAACAUAUGGGCAUCCAAGUUUCUUAUUGAGAUAAAAAAAAAUUGACUUAAUCCUGAAUUUAUCAUAUAAAAAUUGUGCAAGUUAAGAAAAAAAAUUUAAUCCAGAUUUCUUUUUCCUUCUUUCAAGUUUUCUUCAUUGUAUUUGAUAGUUGUGCUGAUAGAAAAGUUGGUGAUUUAAUGUGACAAGAUGAAAAGGUGGUGGUUCUGGUGUAUCUAAAAAAAAAAAGGAUAAAAUUAAUUAUAGACAUUGCAUUCAAAUAUUACAUCGUUAUCUUUGUGUUAUUCACAUUUAGGUUGGCCUUUCACUCUGAUUGGUGACUGUGCACGGAGUAUUGACUUUUUUGAAGCCAUGGUAUAGAGAUUAGAUUGAUAAUUAAGCGUGACAAGAUGAAAAGGUGACGGUUGUGGUAGAUCCUUUGGUAUAUCUGUAUAAAUAAAUAAGGUAAAAUUAAUUGCAGACAUUGUAUUCAAAUACUACAUCCUUAUCUUUGUGUUAUUCACAUUUAGUUUGCCCUUUUCCUCUAACAGGUAACUGUGUCCAGAUCAUUGACUUUUUGAAGCCAUUAGAUUGAUAAUUAAGCGUGACAAGAUGAAAAGGUGACGGCUGUGGUAGAUCCUUUGGUAUAUCUGUAUGAAUAAAAAAGAUAAAAUUAAUUACAGACAUUGUAUUCAAAUAUUACAUCCUUAUCUUUGUGUUAUUCACAUUUAUUUUGCCCUUUUCCUCUAACAGGUAACUGUGUCCGGAUCAUUGACUUUUUGAAGCCAUAAGAUUGAUAAUUAAGCGUGACAAGAUGAAAAGGUGACGGCUGUGGUAGAUCCUUUGGUAUAUCUGUAUGAAUAAAAAAGAUAAAAUUAAUUACAGACAUUGCAUUCCAAUAUUACAUCCUUAUCUUUGUGUUAUUCACAUUUAGUUUGCCCUUUUCCUCUAACAGGUAACUGUGUCCGGAUCAUUGACUUUUUUGAAGCCAUGGUAUAGAUAUUAGAAUUGUAGUUCUGUGCGGUGAAAUAAAGAUAUUGUGGGAAAGCUAUAGAUAUCCUCAUGUAUAUCUCUAUCAAAAAUGACAAAGUUAAUAAAUUAUGUUAGGUUAAUCAUUUGAUGAUAUGAGUCCUUCAAAUCUCAAAAUAUACCAGGUAUGUAUAGAACAUGUAUGGGAACCCAAGUUUCUGAUUGAGAACAAAAAAACAUUCAACUUAAAACUUAUCCAGAUUUCUUUUUCCUUUUUUCAAGUUUCCUUUGUUGUACAUGUAUUUGAUAGUUGUGCUGAUAGAAAAGUUGGUGAUUUAAUGUGACAAGAUGAAAAGGUGGUGGAUCCUAUGUUGUAUCAAUCUGUAUAAAAAAAGGUAAAAUUAAUUACAGACAUUGCAUUCAAAUAUUACAUCGUUAUCUUUGUGUUAUUCACAUUUAGGUUGGUCUUUCACUCUGAUUGGUAACUGUGCACGAAUUAUUGACUUUUUUGAAGCCAUGGUAUAGAUAUUUGAUUGGUAGUUCUGUGUGAAGAGAUAAAGACAUUGUGUGGAACCUGUAGAUCCUCAGGUGUAUCUCUAUAAAAAUGACAAGUUAAUGAAUUAUAUUAGGUAAGUCAUGAUUAUAAAAAUCUUCAAAAUCUCAAUAUAUUUAUAGAACAUAUCGGCACCCCAGUUUCUGAUUGAGAUAAAAAAAAAAUUGACUUAAUCCUUAAUGUAUCAUAUUAGUUUUGUGCAAGUUAAGAAAGAAAAACUUUGUUCCAGAUUUCUUAUUCCUUCUUUCAAGUUGUGCUGAUAGAAAAGUUGGUGAUUUAAUGUGACUAGAUGAAAAGGUGGUGGUUCUGGUGUAUCUGUAUAAAAAAAAAGAAGAUAAAAUUAAUUACAGACAUUGCAUUCAAAUAUUACAUCCUUAUCUUUGUGUUAUUCACAUUUGGGUUGGCCUUUCAUUCUGAUUGGUAACUGUGCACGAAUUAUUGACUUUUUUGAAGCCAUGGUAUAGAUAUUUAAGGAUGGUAGUUCUGUGCGGUGACAUGAAGAUAUUGUGUGGAACCUAUAGAUCCUCGGGUGUAUCUCUAUAAAAAAAAUGACAAAGUUAAUAAAUUGUUUUGGGUACGACAUUUGAUGAUAAGACUCCUUAAAAUCUCAAAAAUAUUUUGUAUAUAACGUAUGGGCAUCCAAGUUUCUUAUUCAGAUAAAAAAAAUUGACUUAAUCCUGAAUUUAUCAUAUAAAAAUUGUGCAAGUUAAGAAAAAAAACUUAUCCAGAUUUCCUUUUCCUUCUUUCAAGUUUUCUUCGUUGUAUUUGAUAGUUGUGCUGAUAGAAAAGUUGGUGAUUUAAUGUGACAAGAUGAAAAGGUGGUGGUUCUGGUGUAUCUAAAAAAAAAAGGAUAAAAUUAAUUAUAGACAUUGCAUUCAAAUAUUACAUCGUUAUCUUUGUGUUAUUCACAUUUAGGUUGGCCUUUCACUCUGAUUGGUAACUGUGCACGGAGUAUUGACUUUUUUGAAGCCAUGGUAUAGAGAUUAGAUUGAUAAUUAAGCGUGACCAGAUGAAAAGGUGACGGCUGUGGUAGAUCCUUUGGUAUAUCUGUAUAAAUAAAUAAGGUAAAAUUAAUUGCAGACAUUGUAUUCAAAUACUACAUCCUUAUCUUUGUGUUAUUCACAUUUAGUUUGCCCUUUUCCUCUUACAGGUAAUUGUGUCUGGAUCAUGGACUUUUUUGAAGCCAUGGUAUAGAUAUUAGAAUGGUAGUUCUGUGCGGUGAGAUAAAGACAUUGUGGGAAAGCUAGAUAUACUCAUGUAUAUCUCUAUAAAAAAUGACAGAAUUAAUAAAUUAUAUAAGGUAGAUCAUUUGAUUAUAAGAAUCUGUAAAAUCUCAAAAUAUAAGAGCAAAAAAAUAUUCAACUUAAUCCUGAAAUUAUUAUAUUCUAUUAAAAUAAGUUUUAAAAAAAAAGAAAAAAAAAAACCCAACUUAUCCAGAUUUCUGUUUCCUUCUUUCAAGUUUUCCUUUGUUGUAUUUGAUAGUUGUGCUGACAAAAAAGUUUGAUGAUAGCUACGGUGUUUAUAGAUGUCAAUAUAGAUGAUGGUUUUCCCUCAGCACAGGCAUACGUUAUGAUAUACUGAAGGGUCUUAUGGGGUAUGUGGAGAAGGGGGCCACUCGGGUAUAAGAAUAAUCAAGUUUGACACUAAUUUUGUACUACCUCUGCCCUGCAGGUAGGGCGUAAGAAUUGUACCUGCUGCCCCCAUUGCAUGAUCGUAAGAGGCGACUAAAUUUGGGAUCUUUCUUUUUUAUUCUUUCUAAGCAAUUUUCUUCUUAAUGUCCCUUUUACACUACUUUCCUUUUUGGUCUUUAGUUUAGCAUGAGCAUUUGCCCCUGUGAGGAAGGCUUUUGGGUUCGUUUGCUUGGCCAAGACAUACCAGAGCCUUAGAAAAUGGUCAUUUCUACUCUUGCUAGCACUAUAUGCAUUUAAGGAGUGGGAUUUGUUCCCCUUUUGUCAGUAUAAUAUGACUGGGUGGGGUGUCCUGCUGGGUGUCUGGUAGUAAAUUCAGUGAGAUUGCACUAUAAAGUCGACAUUAGUUUUGCUCCAUAAAGGAGACAAACAACACAUGGGAGGUCGCCCUUAGAUAGCUAGUUCUUGAUAGGAUUUUACUAAAUGUAAACCAAUCAAACAAAUUCUACCUAUACUGGCUUUAUCGGACAAUUUCUGUACCAAGUUUGGUUGCAUUUCAAACAAAAUUAGUGCCAUUCAAUUUGUAGAUCCUCUACAUUCCCUAUUCAUGCUUUAUUGAACUCUCUUCACAAGCUGUCAGCUGACCACUGGCCACUUUCCUUCAAAAAUGACCACUUACCACAUCCGUGGAAGUGAAGGCAUGUAAUACAGUACUGUACCCUGCCCGUUCCUGGAAGCAAGACGUUAUUUCGAUUUAAAUUAUGCGGAAAAUACAUCACCAAAUAAGUUUCCUAAAAUAUUUGUGGUCUUCUCCAAAAAAAAAAUAAAAUCCGAUAUACAUUUAUUUAUUUUGUCAGUUUUAGAAUUUCAUGCAACCAAUAUUCAAUCUACUGCUUUUCAUGUUCUCGUGUACAGUGUACUAUUCCUGUGUAAUGAUACAUUAUUAUUGGAUCUGAUUGUAUGUUUUAUUUAGUUAUAGAUAUCUUUUUCAAUGCAUAGACCAAAAAAAAAAUUAUCUUGUGCUGGUUUCUUGGAAUGGGACGGGUACGGGUACAGGCAUGGUUUUCGUGUUUUCGCCUCCACAGGAUCUCUCGGACAUGAGGUAGUAAGAAAUUACUGACAUACCUCAUGUAUAUUUUAUAGCCAGAUGCCCUCCCCAUAUACCCUAUAAGACCUUUUUAGAUAUCGUAACAUAUGCCCUGCCUGUGGUCCUAGGUGGCUGUUAAUUAAUCUAAUUAAAAUCUUGAUAUUCAUUCUCACUCUGUUCCAUAAACAUCGCAUAAAAGGUCACGUCAAGGUGACCUGUGAUAUUUCUGUGUUCCCAUUUUCAGGACGAAUUGUCAAGUUCUCUGUGUAAACUAUUUCGCCACAGCAUGCAUCUGAAGCAAACCACUUCAGCACAGCAUUUAUAUAGCUGUAUGCUUUGUGGGAUGAAAUUAUUGGAAUUAAAUUUACAGAUUAUGCAAGCUUUGCACUCUAAGUCAUGCUAGUUCGCACAUACAAAUUUCACUUUCAAGAUUCUGGGAGUAGUAAUUUGAUUGGCUAAUCCAGAAAGUCACCCUGACGUGACCCCUUAUGCAAUGUUGUGAGAUGUUCAUGUAACAGACUGGGAAUGAAUAUCUAGAUUUUAAUUAGAUUAGCUGUUAAUAUCAUUAACAGUUACUUGUCUUUGUUAAUGUUGCUAUCCGUUUGGUUCUCUGACCUUUGUCAAAUUCUUCUUGAUGACCAAAACCAGUGGAAAACAGAGUCGUUAGUGUUUAUAAUUAAUUCUAAUCAAUAAUAGAUCAGCUGAUGUAAUUAGCAAAUCCGGUAUAAACAUCCAUGAUUGAAUUUCUUUCUGAUGUAUUGAUGAGGGCAGACAAAAUUUAGUAGAAAUUUCGACUGGUUGAGUUAACAGGCGAGAGACAGAAAUAAGAGUUUAUUUAAGUAGAUGAUCGAAGCUCAAUAAAGCCGAUAGAAAGAACAUAUAUAAACCAUACAACAAUAAAUAAAAAAAACAUAAUAACAUUGACCAACCGAUCAUAUAAUUGUUAAUAAGGAAUUCAACCAAUAAUCAAUUAGGUAUUUUUUACUGAUUCUGAACACUAUGUCUAACACUAAUAUCAGGUGAGCGAUAUAUGUAGGCCCCAUGGGCCUCUUGUUUACUUCAAUUUGCUUGUGAAAUUAAUACAUCCAAUUUCGAAUUGAUAGAUCAUCAUUUCCACCAUUUUGAUGGAAGUAAAAAAUAGAUAAUGACCUGCUGGCCAAGAUUCAUCAAUGUUCCUUAGCUUAAGGAAAUUCUUCAACUUUUAUUGAAGGAAAGAAAUUCUUCGCUUAGAAAUAUUUCCUUCAAUUUUAUAAUGUUUUUCCGUUGGAAGAUGUUAGUUAAGGAAUUUCCUCAAGGUAAGGCACAUUGAUGAAAUCUGGGCCAGGUAACAAAAGUUUGUGGCAGUUAUUGAUAGUAACUCCUUACCUUGCUUAAUGUCUGUUCAGAUUAUAAAUCUGGCCGCUUUGUGAACCUUAACAAAAUUAUCCACACUGUAUUAUUUAAGUUCCUGUAUCCUUAUCUGUGAUCCGAAUAAUGCAUCUUCUCAUCGAUUCAAUUUUUGUUCUUAGCAUAAUACAAUGUAUGAUUUUUCUUCUCAAAGGGUACUAAAUCUCCAAAACUUGUCAUACAUACAAUAUACUUUUUAUUGUUUUGUUUAAGAUGUGUAUCAUGUUGUUUAUGUGCAUGCAUUUUAGUAUGUAAAGAAUCUCUGGAAUCCUGUAUAAAAAAAAAAAAAAAAAAAAAUCAUUACCUGGGUUUA